AGUAAUUCUAGAGCUAAUACGUGCGUAAAUCCCCCUUUAUGGGGGGACGUAUUUAUUAGAUAAAAGGCCGACCGGCCUUUGUUCCGACUCGCGGUGAUUCAUGAUAACUCCACGGAUCGCAUGGCCUCGUGCCGGCGAUGUUUCAUUCAAAUUUCUUGUCCUAUCAACUUUCGACGGUAAGGUAUUGGCUUACCGUGGUGGUAACGGGUGACGGAGGAUUAGGGUUCGAUUCCGGAGAGGGAGCCUGAGAAACGGCUACCACAUCCAAGGAAGGCAGCAGGCGCGCAAAUUACCCAAUCUUGACACAAGGAGGUAGUGACAAUAAAUAACAAUACCGGGGUUUUUCAACUCUGGUAAUUGGAAUGAGUACAAUCUAAACCCCUUAACGAGGAUCAAUUGGAGGGCAAGUCUGGUGCCAGCAGCCGCGGUAAUUCCAGCUCCAAUAGCGUAUAUUUAAGUUGUUGCAGUUAAAAAGCUCGUAGUUGGAUUUCGGGCGGGCUCGGCUGGUCCGCCUAUCGGUGUGCACUGACCGAGCCCGUCUUGUUGCCGGGGACGGGCUCCUGGGCUUAACUGUCCGGGACUCGGAGUCGGCGAGGUUACUUUGAGUAAAUUAGAGUGUUCAAAGCAGGCCUACGCUCUGAAUACAUUAGCAUGGAAUAACACGAUAGGACUCUGGCCUAUCUUGUUGGUCUGUGGGACCGGAGUAAUGAUUAAGAGGGACAGUCGGGGGCAUUCGUAUAU
rnacentral:rRNA from 1 species